rnacentral:rRNA from 1 species
GACGAACGCUGGCGGCGUGCUUAACACAUGCAAGUCGAACGGAAAGGCCCUGCUUUUGUGGGGUGCUCGAGUGGCGAACGGGUGAGUAACACGUGAGUAACCUGCCCUUGACUUUGGGAUAACUUCAGGAAACUGGGGCUAAUACCGGAUAGGAGCUCCUGCUGCAUGGUGGGGGUUGGAAAGUUUCGGCGGUUGGGGAUGGACUCGCGGCUUAUCAGCUUGUUGGUGGGGUAGUGGCUUACCAAGGCUUUGACGGGUAGCCGGCCUGAGAGGGUGACCGGCCAAAUUGGGAAUGAGAUACGGCCCAGACUCCUACGGGAGGCAGCAGUGGGGAAUAAUGCACAAUGGACGGAAGCCUGAUGCAGCAACGCCGCGUGCGGGAUGACGGCCUUCGGGUUGUAAACCGCUUUCGCCUGUGACGAAGCGUGAGUGACGGUAAUGGGUAAAGAAGCACCGGCUAACUACGUG